rnacentral:piRNA from 1 species
GUCAUAGUCAAGUUGGAGCAAUCUGUUCU